rnacentral:snRNA from 1 species
GUGCUUGCUUUGGCAGCACAUGUGCUUAAACUGGAAUGGCGCAGGGAAGAUCAGCAUGGCCCCAUGCACAAGGAUGACAAGCAAAUUCAUGUAACAUUCCAUAUUUUU